ACAGGGAUUGAAACCAACAGGGAUUGCCUCAGUAUCGGCGAGUGAAGCGGCAACAGCUCAAAUUUGAAAUCUGGCACUUUUUGUGUCCGAGUUGUAAUUUGGAGAGGAAACUUACGGUGAAGCCUUAAUAUUUAAGUUCCCUGGAACGGGAUGUCAUGGAGGGUGAGAAUCCUGUAUGUAAUAUUGGGCAGAUCCACAUGUUUAGUUCCUUCAAUGAGUCGAGUUGUUUGGGAAUGCAGCUCUAAACGGGAGGUAAAUUCCUUCUAAAGCUAAAUAUUGGCCAGAGACCGAUAGCGGACAAGUAGAGUGAUCGAAAGAUGAAAAGUACUUUGAAAAGAGGGUUAAACAGUACGUGAAAUUGUUGAAAGGGAAGCAUUUGCAACCAGAUUCAUUACAAGUUGGCUCAACCUGACCAUCUGGUCUGGUGUAUUCUACUUGUAUUAUGAGGUCAGCAUCGGUUA
rnacentral:rRNA from 1 species